ensembl:lncRNA
CUAAUUCAGUAUUAAUGUAUGUCUAGAAUGGCGGCAGAUGAGGGAUUGAGUGUAUGGCACUGCAACCAACGUAACAUUUUACAGUGUUUAAUGUAGUAAUGUGGUCGCUCUGUUUUUCUAGAUUUGUUUUAAUUGUUAUUUGAACAAAGAAAUCAAGUGCUACGCAGAUGUAUUGGCCAUGACUUGAUUGUAAAUACAAAUACAAAAUUUAGACGAGUAAAGAAAAUGCGGUACUUAUUACAAGAAUCACACCUUUAUUUAAAUAUAUAAACACAGGAAACCGCUGUUAACAGGUUAAGGCAGGGAUCCUCAAAUCUGGCCCACAAGAUCCACUUUCCUGCAGAGUUUAGCUCUAACCCUAAUCAAACACACCUGAGCAUGCUAAUCAAUGUCUUCAGGAUCAUAGGAAAAUCACAGGUAGGUGAGUUUGAUCAGGUUGAAGCAAAACUCUGCAGCGCAUUGGCCCUCCAGGGCAAGAUUUGUGGAACCCUGGGUUAAGGUAACGUUUCCCAUUCCAUGACUAGUAAAAUAAUGGCAACUUACUGUCUGUAUAACAUUGAACAUGAUGGUUCUUCGGAGUAGCACAGCCGCUGUGUCUUCUUCUUGUUUGACAGGUGUCAGCGUUAAGGAGCAAUACUGCCACCUGGGAGCUCAACCAGAUAUGUCUCUGAUACAGCUGGAAACUCACAGACAGAGGGAAAAAUGUACAGUGUGUCAGUGGGCAGAAUGGCUCUUUACUAUGAAUAAUGAGUCGUUGAUGCAACAGAACAUUUUUGCUUCUCUGGACCAAAUAAAAAAGGUUUGGGUGGGUUGGGUGAGUUGUGGAGAAAACUAUAUGAUGGAUCUGCUGAUGCAAUUGCAGACUCGAGAGACAAAACAAGCCUCUUCAGCAGAACUGCUGUGCCAAAUCAACAUUUAGAUCCACUGCAUAUAAGAUGAAGAGAAAUGCAAGAACCAGUUCACAUAUACCAGGCCAGAGUUUGUGUUCUCAUUCAUCUCAGUGGCAGAUUCAAUGGCACAUAUACAAUCUUAAGAGUGCACAGCAAAUAUGGCUGACAAUCAAUCCAUGAAGCAACCAAAGUUUGGGUCAAAACAGGUCUUUAAAUGGAAAUGCAUGUCUUUUCACUUCGUAAACUCAUAGGUCAGAGUUUAACUCAAACCAUGGUGCACAUAAACAAAAACAUCUGUGCAACAUAUUUGUGUUCCCACUCUCAAGCAUGAGAAUAGAAGUGAAUGAAACACGAAGUGUGAACAAUCCGUCUGAAGCAAUGGCAAAAGCAAUCACUUCGGUUCCAGAAGUCUCCCUCAAGUUCAUUUACCCUCUCAUUCCUUUUGGACGAAUUUUCUUCUGAUUUUGCUGUUGCUAUUGACACAUUCCUGCCCUCCAUCAAGCGUAACAGAAGCUUAAGAAGUAAUUUACCAGUAAGACUGAGCAGAAUAAAAAUACAACAUGCUCCACUGCACUGCUGGAAUGCCAUUCUAUUCAAGCUUAAUGGAUUGAUGCUAUUAAUAAAGCGUUGUCUGUCAUAUGCUGAGCGUCCAGUUUGAAAUUAUUUUGAAAGAUGUCAUCUGUAUCUAUUAAUUCAAAUAAAUCUGUCUCCAUCUCAGUCAAUCAAAUCCACCCCAGACACCAAUCUAGCAUUAGACGGACUGCACAGCUGUCUACACAUGUCAGAGGUGAAGACAGUACAUCGAUACUUGACUGUUCUCAUUUCGGAGAAGGGAGGAUAUAUGCUAUUUGGAUUUUAAUGUUUUUUCUUUAUUCUGUUUUGUUUAGUGGUGAAAUAUAGAUCUUCUGUAAGCAGUGUGCAAGUCCAUUUGUUAGGUCCACCUGAAGAACAUGGCUGGCAGUGUGGUGCACCUGACCAAAUGUCAGAUAUCUGUUCGUCCGGCUCAGUUGGUUAUAAAAGUUUGUCAUUAGCAUCUGCAAGGUCACUGGUUAUUUUCCUAGGGAAUGCAUGAACUAAUAGAUUGGGAUAAAAUGCAGACACACUAGUGAUUUGCUCAC